rnacentral:rRNA from 1 species
UGUUUCCUACGGGGCGCAGCAGUAGGGAAUUUUCGUCAAUGGGCGCAAGCCUGAACGAGCGAUGCCGCGUGAGUGAAGAAGGCCUUCGGGUCGUAAAGCUCUGUUGCGGGGAAAAAAGGCAGCAUCAGGAAAUGGGUGCUGACUGAUGGUGCCCCGCCAGAAAGUCACGGCUAACUACGUGCCAGCAGCCGCGGUAAUACGUAGGGGGCGAGCGUUAGCCAGAAUGAUUGGGAGUAAAGGGUGCGCAGGCGGUCCUGCAAGUCUGGAGUGAAACGCAUGAGCUCAAAUCAUGCAAGGCUUUGGAA